rnacentral:rRNA from 1 species
AUUGAACGCUGGCGGCAUGCCUUACACAUGCAAGUCGAACGGCAGCACGGGUGCUUGCACCUGGUGGCGAGUGGCGAACGGGUGAGUAAUACAUCGGAACGUACCUUAUCGUGGGGGAUAACAAAUUGAAAAAUUUGCUAAUACCGCAUAAUACUCUGAGGAGGAGAGCGGGGGUUUCGUAAGAACCUCGUGCGGUUAGAGCGGCCGAUGGCUGAUUAGCUAGUUGGUGAGGCAAAGGCCCACCAAGGCAACGAUCAGUAGCAGGUCUGAGAGGAUGAUCUGCCACACUGGAACUGAGAAACGGUCCAGACUCCUACGGGAGGCAGCAGUGGGGAAUUUUGGACAAUGGGGGCAACCCUGAUUCAGCAAUGCCGCGUGAGUGAAGAAGGCCUUCGGGUUGUAAAGCUCUUUUGUCAGCGAAGAAAACUUUAAUAAUAACACUAUUAAAGCAUGACGGUAACUGAAGAAUAAGGACCGGCUAACUACGUGCCAGCCGCCGCGGUAA